AUGAACGCUGGCGGCGUGCCUAAUACAUGCAAGUCGAGCGAACAGACGAGGAGCUUGCUCCUCUGACGUUAGCGGCGGACGGGUGAGUAACACGUGGAUAACCUACCUAUAAGACUGGGAUAACUUCGGGAAACCGGAGGUAAUACCGGAUAACAUGUUGAACCGCAUGGUUCAACAGUGAAAGACGGUCUUGCUGUCACUUAUAGAUGGAUCCGCGCCGCAUUAGCUAGUUGGUAAGGUAACGGCUUACCAAGGCAACGAUGCGUAGCCGACCUGAGAGGGUGAUCGGCCACACUGGAACUGAGACACGGUCCAGACUCCUACGGGAGGCAGCAGUAGGGAAUCUUCCGCAAUGGGCGAAAGCCUGACGGAGCAACGCCGCGUGAGUGAAGAAGGUCUUCGGAUCGUAAAACUCUGUUAUUAGGGAAGAACAAAUGUGUAAGUAACUAUGCACGUCUUGACGGUACCUAAUCAGAAAGCCACGGCUAACUACGUG
rnacentral:rRNA from 1 species